rnacentral:rRNA from 1 species
GAUGAACGCUGGCGGCGUGCCUAAUACAUGCAAGUCGAGCGAACGGACGAGAAGCUUGCUUCUCUGAUGUUAGCGGCGGACGGGUGAGUAACACGUGGAUAACCUACCUAUAAGACUGAGAUAACUUCGGGAAACCGGAGCUAAUACCGGAUAAUAUUUUGAACCGCAUGGUUCAAAAGUGAAAGACGGUCUUGCUGUCACUUAUAGAUGGAUCCGCGCUGCAUUAGCUAGUUGGUAAGGUAACGGCUUACCAAGGCAACGAUGCAUAGCCGACCUGAGAGGGUGAUAGGCCACAUGGGAACUGAGACACGGUCCAGACUCCUACGGGAGGCAGCAGUAGGGAAUCUUCCGCAAUGGGCGAAAGCCUGACGGAGCAACGCCGCGUGAGUGAUGAAGGUCUUCGGAUCGUAAAACUCUGUUAUUAGGGAAGAACAUAUGUGUAAGUAACUGUGCACAUCUUGACGGUACCUAAUCAGAAAGCCACGGCUAACUACGUG